GAUGAACGCUGGCGGCGUGCUUAACACAUGCAAGUCGAACGAGAAGUGAAGACGGAAACCUUCGGGCGGAAGGCUUUAUUUCGAGUGGCGGCCGGGUGAGUAACGCGUGGGUAACCUGCCUCAUCCAGGGGGAUAACAGUUGGAAACGACUGUUAAUACCGCAUAAGACCACAGCACCGCAUGGUGCGGGGGUAAAAACUCCGGUGGUAUGAGAUGGACCCGCGUUCGAUUAGCCAGUUGGCGGGGUAACGGCCCACCAAAGCGACGAUCGAUAGCCGAUCUGAGAGGAUGACCGGCCACAUUGGGACUGAGACACGGCCCGAACUCCUACGGGAGGCAGCAGUGGGGAAUAUUGCACAAUGGGGGAAACCCUGAUGCAGCGACGCCGCGUGAGUGAAGAAGUAUUUCGGUAUGUAAAGCUCUAUCAGCAGGGAAGAAAAUGACGGUACCUGAGUAAGAAGCCCCGGCUAACUACGUG
rnacentral:rRNA from 1 species